AUGGAGAAAGCAAGCAAAAAGUGGGUGGAGUGUGAAAAUGAAGAGAGAGAGGGAGAGGUGUCUCGGCAGUGGUGGUGCGGCGGCUCGGAGCCUGAGAGGAAAUGGCAGUGGUGGAGCAUGGCGCAGGAGCCGGGCAGGAGCCAGGCACCCAGGAACUGGAAUGCCAGGGGCGACGGUGGCAUGAAAUUUCAUCUGCUUCUUCAACUCCUUCACCUGAGGACUUGAAGAGUGAGGAUAUCUCGGUUUGGUAUCCACCUGCAAAAUGAGACUGCUGGCAAGGAUCCCUAGAAGAAGAAGACCACUUUUGUGAAUGAAAGGACGGCUCGAAUUCUGCAAUCAAGCUUGUGCUUCUGCUGAAGUCUCUAUACAGAGACAGCUGCAGUAAUGAAUUUCAGUAUGAAGAUUAUAUGAAUAUUCCCCCAGUUCUGCAAAAAAACUGGCCAAAACUGUCAUGCAUUUCACACAGGCUUCUUUCAGGCAUCAGGUAGCAACUGCUUAUGGUCA